AACGAAGGAAGUGAGUGAGCAACAGGGGGGCUCAGGGUAGGAUAGAAUCAGAGAGUAUAUAAAAGUUAACUUAUUCAGUGGUUCUGAGAUGAUGACAUACGGUCUGAAAUCGUUGGGCUGUCUAUUGUCAGAAGGAUUUAGCCUUGGCCAAUGAGAGAGGAGUAGGAGUGUGGAAAUCACAGGACGCUAUAGAAGGCAGUGAAGAUACAUCAAGGCCCCCAGGAGGAGGCUUUGCUGGGCUCAGCAGGGACAGGAUGGGCGUCCUCAGAGGAGCUAUCGGAUCAGGCUUCCCAGGCACAGCACCUGGAGCAGCUAGCCCAGCUCUGCAUCGUGAGUAAAAGACCUCAUCUUGCUUUAGAGUACAGUGGGAAAGCCACUAAGAUCCAUCAGAGGGCCUUUGGCAACGACCACCCCAUCACAGACAGGAGUCUGGAGCUGCUGGCCACCGUCUACGCAGAGAUCGGCAAGACAGAAUACUCAGACUCCCUGGACCAGUGUGUGUCAGUGCUGUCCAAGAGGUUUGCUUCUGCCGAGUCCUUCAGAGACAAACUCAACAACGGUCUUCCCCAUUCCCACUCCCAUUCCCAUCGGGAGAAACACUCCGAUGUCUGGCACAGGAAAGACCCCAGUCCACAGGAUGACACACCAAAACCGAAGGUCACCAACGGUAAAAUCCCUACAUCCAUACUGAAGAGGUCUGGCUCAGGAUCAGACUCGGAGCCCAGCCACAGAUGGAAAGGCGAGCGACGGGUCCGGUUCCGGGAGCCUGAGACCACCGUGCAUGCCUAUGACACGUCACCGCCACGCCCCCACCUGGCCCUGUUCACCUGCUUGUUUCUGCUGAUGUCACUGCUGGGCGUGGUCAUGUACAGCACGGACCGCCGGCGCCCACAGCGUGUGUGUGAGGAGCUGGAGGCCUCGCUGGCUGUCUAUCUGAUACACAUGAAACAGCUGCUGUGGGGCUGCUGGAUCUGGCUAACCAUGCAGUGA
rnacentral:lncRNA from 1 species